rnacentral:rRNA from 1 species
UGUACAGAUAGNCAUGCAUNGUCUAAGUAUAAGCAAUUAUACCGUGAAACUGCGAAUGGCUCAUUAAAUCAGUUAUCGUUUAUUUGAUAGUACCUUACUACUUGGAUAACCGUGGUAAUUCUAGAGCUAAUACAUGCUAAAAACCCCAACUUCGGGAGGGGUGUAUUUAUUAGAUAAAAAACCAAUGCCCUUCGGGGCUCCUUGGUGAUUCAUGAUAACUUCUCAGAUCGCAUGGCUUUACGCCGGCGACGGUUCAUUCAAAUUUCUGCCCUAUCAACUUUCGAUGGUAAGGUAUUGGCUUACCAUGGUUUCAACGGGUAACGGGGAAUUAGGGUUCGAUUCCGGAGAGGGAGCCUGAGAAACGGCUACCACAUCCAAGGAAGGCAGCAGGCGCGCAAAUUACCCAAUUCCGAUACGGAGAGGUAGUGACAAUAAAUACUGAUACAGGGCUCUUUUGGGUCUUGUAAUUGGAAUGAGUACAAUUUAAACCUCUUAACGAGGAACAAUUGGAGGGCAAGUCUGGUGCCAGCAGCCGCGGUAAUUCCAGCUCCAAUAGCGUAUAUUAAAGUUGUUGCAGUUAAAAAGCUCGUAGUUGAACCUUUGGCCUGGCUGGCAGGUCCGCCUCACCGCGUGCACUUGUCCGGCCGGGCCUUUUCUUCUGGAGAACCGCAUGCCCUUCACUGGGUGUGUUGGGGACCAGGACUUUUACUUUGAAAAAAUUAGAGUGUUCAAAGCAGGCCUUUGCUCGAAUACGUUAGCAUGGAAUAAUAGAAUAGGACGUGCGGUCCUAUUUUGUUGGUUUCUAGGACCGCCGUAAUGAUUAAUAGGGACAGUCGGGGGCAUCAGUAUUCAAUUGUCAGAGGUGAAAUUCUUGGAUUUAUUGAAGACUAACUACUGCGAAAGCAUUUGCCAAGGAUGUUUUCAUUAAUCAGUGAACGAAAGUUAGGGGAUCGAAGACGAUCAGAUACCGUCGUAGUCUUAACCAUAAACUAUGCCGACUAGGGAUCGGGCGGUGUUUCUAUUGUGACCCGCUCGGCACCUUACGAGAAAUCAAAGUGUUUGGGUUCUGGGGGGGAGUAUGGUCGCAAGGUGACUAG